rnacentral:hammerhead_ribozyme from 1 species
ACUAGCUGACGAAUCCCAAAUAGGGUAAAACGCGCGUCCUGGAU